rnacentral:ncRNA from 2 species
AAUUUACAUCAAGAACGCAGCAAUGCGUGCCAACCGAGCUUUAGGAAUAGAGCAUUCCAAAGAGCCACGGUGGCGAGCGAAAGCAGAUGUGGGCAUACGCCAAAAAAACUCAUUAUA